rnacentral:rRNA from 1 species
GGACUACCGGGGUUUCUAAUCCUGUUCGCUACCCACGCUUUCGUGCCUCAGCGUCAAUGUUGGCUUAGUGAGCUGCCUUCGCAAUCGGUGUUCUACAACAUAUCUAAGCAUUUCACCGCUACAUGUUGUAUUCCGCCCACUUCAACCAGAUUCAAGCUAAACAGUUUCAAUGGCAAUUCCACAGUUAAGCUGCGGGCUUUCACCAUUGACUUAUAAAGCCGCCUACGCACCCUUUAAACCCAGUGAAUCCGGAUAACGCUUGCACCCUCCGUAUUACCGCGGCUGCUGGCAC